rnacentral:rRNA from 1 species
UAGUCCGCACCGUAAACGAUGAGAGCUAGUUGUCUGCAAGCAUGCUUGUAGGUGACGCAGCUAACGCAUUAAGCUCUCCGCCUGGGGAGUACGGUCGCAAGAUUAAAACUCAAAGAAAUUGACGGGGGCCCGCACAAGCGGUGGAGCAUGUGGUUUAAUUCGAAGCAACGCGCAGAACCUUACCUACCCUUGACAUGCCGGUCGCGAUUUCCAGAGAUGGAUUUCUUCAAUUCGGUUGGACCGUGCACAGGUGCUGCAUGGCCGUCGUCAGCUCGUGUCGUGAGAUGUUGGGUUAAGUCCCGCAACGAGCGCAACCCUCACUUUUAGUUGCCAGCAUUUAGUUGGGCACUCUAGAAGAACUGCCGGUGCAAGCCGAGAGGAAGGUGGGGAUGACGUCAAAUCAUCAUGGCCUUUAUGCCCAGGGCUACACACGUGCUACAAUGGACAGGACAAAGGGUCGCCAAACCGCGAGGUGGAGCUAAUCCCAGAAACCUGUU